GGAUCCUAUGAUUCAGCCAAUACAGUUGCUAAGAUGCAAAAGGUUGUAAAGGAUGUAUUUCCAAACAAACAAGUUCAGAAUCCUUUAUGCCAAACUGAAAAUGUUGGACCAUUGGUUUCUGGAAGAAUGGUGUGACCAAAAUUGGUCAACAUACGUUACCUGAUAACCCUCCAUCCUUUGGUGUUUCUAAGGAUUCUGAUGAUGAUAGUAGUUGUCAUGGCGGUCAAAAUGACCUUCUCAUGGAUUGUCUCUCACAUGGCACCUGCGAAUGAAAAUUUCACUUGAUACUACUACAAGGUUUCCGAUAACUUCAUAAAAUCUAAUUGAUUAUUUGUGGUAUUGGUCUCGCUGGAAUUGGAGUUGAUGCUAAAUACACAAGUCAGAUGCAUGUGUAAAUCUCAAUUACACUAGAUAGAUGCAUAUGUAACUCUCAAUUAC